CCUACGGGGGGCAGCAGUGAGGAAUAUUGGUCAAUGGGCGAGAGCCUGAACCAGCCAAGUCGCGUGAAGGAUGACGGCCCUACGGGUUGUACACUUCUUUUGUCAGGGAGCAAUUGGGUCCACGCGUGGGCUUAGCGAGAGUACCUGAAGAAAAAGCAUCGGUUAACUCCGUGCCAGCAGGCGCGGUAAUACGGAGGAUGCGAGCGUUAUCCGGAUUUAUUGGGUUAAAAGGGUGCGGAGGCGGGUUAUCAAGUCAGCGGUAAAAUCGUGGAGCUCAACUCCAUCCAGCCGUUGAAAGUGAUGAUCGUGAGUGGGCGAGAAGUAUGCGGAAUGCGUGGUGUAGCGGUGAAAUGCAUAGAUAUCACGCAGAACUCCGAUUGCGAAGGCAGCAUACCGGCGCCCGACUGACGCUGAAGCACGAAAGCGUGGGUAUCGAACAGGAUUAGAUACCCGAGUAGUC
rnacentral:rRNA from 1 species